UGGCUUAAUUGGAAGCAAGGGGGACCAAAAGCGGGGUGGACCUGUCCUCAGAAUACAGCACUGCCAAUGAGGAUGACCACAGCCAUUAAUUUCUACACAUCAGGAUCCUUCCAGGCUCUUACAGAGGACAACACGCACAUGUGUCAGCCUAACUCCAUAGAUGCGUACAUCAGUGGGCUGGCAACACCACUAUGAAUGCAGU